ACGAACGCUGGCGGCGUGCUUAACACAUGCAAGUCGAACGGUGAAGCGCCUUCCUUUUUGGUGGGUGUGGAUGAGUGGCGAACGGGUGAGUAGCACGUGAGUAACCUGCCCCCUUCUUCUGGAUAACCGCAUGAAAGUGUGGCUAAUACGGGAUAUUCUGGGUCUGUCGCAUGAUGGGUCUGGGAAAGAUAUUGUUUCGGUGGGGGAUGGGCUCGCGGCCUAUCAGCUUGUUGGUGGGGUGAUGGCCUACCAAGGCGGUGACGGGUAGCCGGCCUGAGAGGGUGGACGGUCACACUGGGACUGAGACACGGCCCAGACUCCUACGGGAGGCAGCAGUGGGGAAUAGUGCACAAUGGGCGCAAGCCUGAUGCAGCGACGCCGCGUGAGGGAUGGAGGCCUGCGGGUUGUGAACCUCUUUCGCCAGUGAAGCAGGCCUGCCUCGUUUGUGGGUGGGUUGACGGUAGCUGGAGAAGAAGCGCCGGCUAACUACGUG
rnacentral:rRNA from 1 species